rnacentral:rRNA from 1 species
ACGGCUCAGUAACACGUGGAUAACCUGCCCUAAGGAAGGGGAUACCCCCGGGAAACUGGGGAUAAUACCCUAUAGGUUACAGAUGCUGGAAUGCUCUGUAACCGAAAGUUCCGGCGCCUUAGGAUGGAUCUGCGGCCGAUUAGGUUGUUGUCGGGGUAACGGCCCAACAAGCCAGUAAUCGGUACGGGUUGUGGGAGCAAGAGCCCGGAGUUGGAUUCUGAGACACGAAUCCAGGCCCUACGGGGCGCAGCAGGCGCGAAAACUUUACAAUGCGGGCAACCGUGAUAAGGGAACCUCGAGUGCCUGUAUAUGCAGGCUGUCUGGGUGUCUAAAACACACCUAAAGAAAGGGCCGGGCAAGACCGGUGCCAGCCGCCGCGGUAAUACCGGCGGCUCGAGUGGUGGCCACUUUUAUUGGGCUUAAAGCGUUCGUAGCUGGGUUAUUAAGUCCCUUGGGAAAUCCGACGGCUUAACCGUCGGGCGUCUAAGGGAUACUGGCAAUCUUGGAACCGGGAGAGGUGAGGGGUACUUCGGGGGUAGGAGUGAAAUCCUGUAAUCCUCGAGGGACCACCUGUGGCGAAGGCGCCUCACCAGAACGGCUUCGACAGUGAGGGACGAAAGCUGGGGGAGCAAACCGGAUUAGAUACCCGGGUAGUCCCAGCCGUAAACGAUGUGCGUUAGGUGUAUCGGUGACCACGAGUCACCGAGGUGCCGAAGGGAAACCGUGAAACGUACCGCCUGGGAAGUACGGUCGCAAGGCUGAAACUUAAAGGAAUUGGCGGGGGAGCACA